rnacentral:rRNA from 1 species
UACGUAGGGACCAAGCGUUGUUCGGAUUUACUGGGCGUAAAGGGCGCGUAGGCGGCAAUUCAAGUCAGCUGUGAAAUCUCCGGGCUUAACUCGGAACGGUCAGCUGAUACUGCUUUGCUAGAGUGCAGAAGGGGCAAUCGGAAUUCUUGGUGUAGCGGUGAAAUGCGUAGAUAUCGGGAGGAACACCUGUGGCGAAGGCGGCUUUCUGGGCCUUACCUGACGCUGAGACGCGAAAGCGUGGGGAGCGAACCGG